rnacentral:rRNA from 1 species
CGCCCGUACCCCAAACCGACACUGGUGGUCAGGUAGAGAAUACCAAGGCGAUCGAGCGAAUCCUGGUCAAGGAACUCGGCAAAUCACUCCCGUGCCUUCGGUAUAAGGGAGACCCGCUGGGGUGAACCGGCUAGCCCGGGGAGCUUUGGUGGGUGGCACAGACCAGGGGGUAGCGACUGUUUACCAAAAACACAGGUGCAUGCGAAGGCGAAAGCCGCUGUAUAUGCACUGACGCCUGCCCGGUGCCGGAAGGUUAAGAGGAUCCGUCAGUCCUUCGGGAUGAAGCGGUGAAUUCAAGCCCCGGUAAACGGCGGUGGUAACUAUAACCAUCCUAAGGUAGCGAAAUUCCUUGUCGGGUAAGUUCCGACCUGCACGAAUGGCGUAACGACUUCCCCACUGUCUCGACCAGGAGCUCGGCGAAAUUGCAGUACGAGUAAAGAUGCUCGUUAAGCGCAGAAGGACGAAAAGACCCCGGGACCUUUACUAUACCUUGGUAUUGGCGUUAGGCGCGGAUUGUGUAGCAUAGGCGGGAGGCUUCGAAGCGGGUGCGCCAGCAUUCGUGGAGCCGCAAGGUGAAAUACCGCUCUGUUCUCGUUUGACGUCUAACCUCGACAAGUCAUCCUUGUCAGGGACAGUGCCUGGCGGGUAGUUCAACUGGGGCGGUUGCCUCCCAAAGAGUAACGGAGGCGCUCAAAGGUCCGCUCAGCCCGGUUGGCAAUCGGGUGUCGAGUGUAAUCGCACAAGCGGGCUUGACUGCGAGGACGACGGUCCGAGCAGGGACGAAAGUCGGAGAUAGUGAUCCGGUGCCGGCGCACGGGCGCGGCAUCGCUCAACGGAUAAAAGGUACCCCGGGGAUAACAGGCUGAUCAUUCCCAAGAGUCCAUAUCGACGGGAUGGUUUGGCACCUCGAUGUCGGCUCGUCGCAUCCUGGGGCUGGAGCAGGUCCCAAGGGUUCGGCUGUUCGCCGAUUAAAGCGGCACGCGAGCUGGGUUCAGAACGUCGUGAGACAGUUUGGUCUCUAUCCUCUGCGCUCGUUGGAAUCCUGAGGAGGCCUGCCCAUAGUACGAGAGGACCUGGGUGGACGAACCUCUGGUAUGCCGGUUGUCGCGCCAGCGGCACGGCCGGUUGGCUACGUUCGGGAGGGAUAACCGCUGAAAGCAUCUAAGCGGGAAGCCUGCUCCAAGAUUAGGAUUCCAUGGAUCUUCGAGAUCCUGUAGCCCGCAUGUCGAACACGUGUUUGAUAGGCCGGAGGUGGAAGCCCCGUGAGGGGUGGAGCCGACCGGUACUAACGGGCGACGGCGACACAAC